rnacentral:rRNA from 1 species
GGGUUGUGAGGUUAAGCGACUAAGCGUACACGGUGGAUGCCCUGGCAGUCAGAGGCGAUGAAGGACGUGCUAAUCUGCGAUAAGCGUCGGUAAGGUGAUAUGAACCGUUAUAACCGGCGAUUUCCGAAUGGGGAAACCCAGUGUGUUUCGACACACUAUCAUUAACUGAAUCCAUAGGUUAAUGAGGCGAACCGGGGGAACUGAAACAUCUAAGUACCCCGAGGAAAAGAAAUCAACCGAGAUUCCCCCAGUAGCGGCGAGCGAACGGGGAGCAGCCCAGAGCCUGAAUCAGUGUGUGUGUUAGUGGAAGCGUCUGGAAAGGCGCGCGAUACAGGGUGACAGCCCCGUACACAAAAAUGCACAUGCUGUGAGCUCGAUGAGUAGGGCGGGACACGUGGUAUCCUGUCUGAAUAUGGGGGGACCAUCCUCCAAGGCUAAAUACUCCUGACUGACCGAUAGUGAACCAGUACCGUGAGGGAAAGGCGAAAAGAACCCCGGCGAGGGGAGUGAAAAAGAACCUGAAACCGUGUACGUACAAGCAGUGGGAGCACGCUUAGGCGUGUGACUGCGUACCUUUUGUAUAAUGGGUCAGCGACUUAUAUUCUGUAGCAAGGUUAACCGAAUAGGGGAGCCGAAGGGAAACCGAGUCUUAACUGGGCGUUAAGUUGCAGGGUAUAGACCCGAAACCCGGUGAUCUAGCCAUGGGCAGGUUGAAGGUUGGGUAACACUAACUGGAGGACCGAACCGACUAAUGUUGAAAAAUUAGCGGAUGACUUGUGGCUGGGGGUGAAAGGCCAAUCAAACCGGGAGAUAGCUGGUUCUCCCCGAAAGCUAUUUAGGUAGCGCCUCGUGAAUUCAUCUCCGGGGGUAGAGCACUGUUUCGGCAAGGGGGUCAUCCCGACUUACCAACCCGAUGCAAACUGCGAAUACCGGAGAAUGUUAUCACGGGAGACACACGGCGGGUGCUAACGUCCGUCGUGAAGAGGGAAACAACCCAGACCGCCAGCUAAGGUCCCAAAGUCAUGGUUAAGUGGGAAACGAUGUGGGAAGGCCCAGACAGCCAGGAUGUUGGCUUAGAAGCAGCCAUCAUUUAAAGAAAGCGUAAUAGCUCACUGGUCGAGUCGGCCUGCGCGGAAGAUGUAACGGGGCUAAACCAUGCACCGAAGCUGCGGCAGCGACGCUGAUGCGUUGUUGGGUAGGGGAGCGUUCUGUAAGCCUGCGAAGGUGUGCUGUGAGGCAUGCUGGAGGUAUCAGAAGUGCGAAUGCUGACAUAAGUAACGAUAAAGCGGGUGAAAAGCCCGCUCGCCGGAAGACCAAGGGUUCCUGUCCAACGUUAAUCGGGGCAGGGUGAGUCGACCCCUAAGGCGAGGCCGAAAGGCGUAGUCGAUGGGAAACAGGUUAAUAUUCCUGUACUUGGUGUUACUGCGAAGGGGGGACGGAGAAGGCUAUGUUGGCCGGGCGACGGUUGUCCCGGUUUAAGCGUGUAGGCUGGUUUUCCAGGCAAAUCCGGAAAAUCAAGGCUGAGGCGUGAUGACGAGGCACUACGGUGCUGAAGCAACAAAUGCCCUGCUUCCAGGAAAAGCCUCUAAGCAUCAGGUAACAUCAAAUCGUACCCCAAACCGACACAGGUGGUCAGGUAGAGAAUACCAAGGCGCUUGAGAGAACUCGGGUGAAGGAACUAGGCAAAAUGGUGCCGUAACUUCGGGAGAAGGCACGCUGAUAUGUAGGUGAAGUCCCUCGCGGAUGGAGCUGAAAUCAGUCGAAGAUACCAGCUGGCUGCAACUGUUUAUUAAAAACACAGCACUGUGCAAACACGAAAGUGGACGUAUACGGUGUGACGCCUGCCCGGUGCCGGAAGGUUAAUUGAUGGGGUCAGCGCAAGCGAAGCUCUUGAUCGAAGCCCCGGUAAACGGCGGCCGUAACUAUAACGGUCCUAAGGUAGCGAAAUUCCUUGUCGGGUAAGUUCCGACCUGCACGAAUGGCGUAAUGAUGGCCAGGCUGUCUCCACCCGAGACUCAGUGAAAUUGAACUCGCUGUGAAGAUGCAGUGUACCCGCGGCAAGACGGAAAGACCCCGUGAACCUUUACUAUAGCUUGACACUGAACAUUGAGCCUUGAUGUGUAGGAUAGGUGGGAGGCUUUGAAGUGUGGACGCCAGUCUGCAUGGAGCCGACCUUGAAAUACCACCCUUUAAUGUUUGAUGUUCUAACGUUGACCCGUAAUCCGGGUUGCGGACAGUGUCUGGUGGGUAGUUUGACUGGGGCGGUCUCCUCCUAAAGAGUAACGGAGGAGCACGAAGGUUGGCUAAUCCUGGUCGGACAUCAGGAGGUUAGUGCAAUGGCAUAAGCCAGCUUGACUGCGAGCGUGACGGCGCGAGCAGGUGCGAAAGCAGGUCAUAGUGAUCCGGUGGUUCUGAAUGGAAGGGCCAUCGCUCAACGGAUAAAAGGUACUCCGGGGAUAACAGGCUGAUACCGCCCAAGAGUUCAUAUCGACGGCGGUGUUUGGCACCUCGAUGUCGGCUCAUCACAUCCUGGGGCUGAAGUAGGUCCCAAGGGUAUGGCUGUUCGCCAUUUAAAGUGGUACGCGAGCUGGGUUUAGAACGUCGUGAGACAGUUCGGUCCCUAUCUGCCGUGGGCGCUGGAGAACUGAGGGGGGCUGCUCCUAGUACGAGAGGACCGGAGUGGACGCAUCACUGGUGUUCGGGUUGUCAUGCCAAUGGCACUGCCCGGUAGCUAAAUGCGGAAGAGAUAAGUGCUGAAAGCAUCUAAGCACGAAACUUGCCCCGAGAUGAGUUCUCCCUGACUCCUUGAGAGUCCUGAAGGAACGUUGAAGACGACGACGUUGAUAGGCCGGGUGUGUAAGCGCAGCGAUGCGUUGAGCUAACCGGUACUAAUGAACCGUGAGGCUUAACCUUACAACGCCGAAGCUGUU